GCGCUGCACAAAUCGCACGCGUGUACCAUAUUUCAAAUUAAUAAAUUAGUUAUUAUUAAAUAUAUAUAUAUAAAUUAGUUAGCAGUAAUUGUAUACAUUAGAAGAGUAAGAAAAAACAAAAAUACACUUUUAAAAAAUAUCCUUUUUUGUAUACUUAAUACGCAUAAAAAUGAAAAAUUUGGUUUUUCGAUUGAUUGUAAACGUCGGAUUGAAAUGAUAACAUGGCGGCGAUGCAAGAAAUGUCGCGGUCCGAGACACGGCCGAUAGAAAGUCAGAUAGUAGUUCAAAGUUCAACUUACGCAUGUGACAAAAAACUUAAGGGGUCAAAAAAAUAAUGCGAAAUGGCGCAAAGGACCGAAAUGUAGGAGAAACGUCGAAAAAAUAGUGCUACGCUAGCCGAAAUCCUAAAAAAGUCUACUUUGACUGAAUUUUGUUAGUUUUUAAUAUUGCUAUUAGCUGAAUAUUGUCUUUUCCACAAAUAAAAAAUUAUUGUUUUGUUUAAAUCAACAAGGAAUAUUUAUCAAAUGCACACAGAGGUAACAAAAAAAUGUUACGGUAUUUAUGUUAAAUGGUUGAAGUUGUUAUUUAGUUGAGAAGCUAUUGGUUUUAAAUUGUUGUGUUUUUAUCCUGUAAACGUCUUUACUUUCGCUCCUAUUGAACUGGUUUUACUUAACGAUAAGUCAAAAAAUCAUGUAUCUAAUUACUAUUAACGAGUAUACUGUCAGCACUAUAGAUUUGAAAAGUUCACCAAUAAAACAGUUAAUAUUUUCUGUUUUCACAUUA